AUUGAACGCUGGCGGCAGGCUUAACACAUGCAAGUCGAGCGGGGUGAUGGUGCUUGCACUAUCACUUAGCGGCGGACGGGCGAGUAAUGCUUAGGAAUCUGCCUAUUAGUGGGGGACAACAUCUCGAAAGGGAUGCUAAUACCGCAUACGUCCUACGGGAGAAAGCAGGGGAUCACUUGUGACCUUGCGCUAAUAGAUGAGCCUAAGUCGGAUUAGCUAGUUGGUGGGGUAAAGGCCUACCAAGGCGACGAUCUGUAGCGGGUCUGAGAGGAUGAUCCGCCACACUGGGACUGAGACACGGCCCAGACUCCUACGGGAGGCAGCAGUGGGGAAUAUUGGACAAUGGGGGGAACCCUGAUCCAGCCAUGCCGCGCGUGUGAAGAAGGCCUUAUGGUUGUAAAGCACUUUAAGCGAGGAGGAGGCUCUUUUGGUUAAUACCCAAGAUGAGUGGACGUUACUCGCAGAAUAAGCACCGGCUAACUCUGUGCCAGCCGCCGCAGUAAUAC
rnacentral:rRNA from 1 species